rnacentral:rRNA from 1 species
AACGAACGCUGGCGGCAGGCCUAAUACAUGCAAGUCGAACGGAUGUAGCAAUACAUUAGUGGCGCACGGGUGCCUAACGCGUGGGAACAUACCCUUGAGUAAGGAAUAAUGUCUGGAAACGGACACUAAUACCUUAUAAUGACUUCGGUCCAAAGAUUCAUCGCUCAAGGAUUGGCCCGCGUCUGAUUAGCUAGUUGGUGAGGUAACGGCUCACCAAGGCGACGGUCAAUAGCUGGUCUGAGAGGAUGAUCAGCCACACUAGGACUGGGACACGGCCCAGAGUCCUACGGGAGGCAGCAGUAAGGAAGAUUGGACAAUGGGGGAAACCCUGAUCCAGCCAUGCCGCGUGAGUGAAGAAGGCCUUAGGGUUGUAAAGCUCUUUCAAUAGUGAAGAUAAUGACGGUAGCUAUAGAAGAAGCCCCGGCUAAAUUCGUGCCAGCAGCCGCCGUAA